rnacentral:sRNA from 1 species
GUUCCGCCUAAAGGGGGUAGGAUGAGAACCUGUAGGUUCGACCAAAUCGCCGGGAGCGAUUUUGAACGCCGUGCGCGGCGUCCCGAAGGGCGGAGGGCAGGAUGCCCGGAGUAAUCCUACCCCCUCCACUA